UACGUAGGUGGCAAGCGUUGUCCGGAUUUAUUGGGCGUAAAGCGCGCGCAGGCGGUCCUUUAAGUCUGAUGUGAAAUCUUGCGGCUCAACCGCAAGCGGUCAUUGGAAACUGGGGGACUUGAGUACAGAAGAGGAAAGUGGAAUUCCACGUGUAGCGGUGAAAUGACGUAGAGAUGUGGAGGAACACCAGUGGCGAAGGCGAACUUUCUGGGCAACAACUGACGCUGAGGAGCGAAAGCGUGGGGAGCGAACAGG
rnacentral:rRNA from 1 species